CUACUGCGGCGCCCCCAUCAUGUGCCUCAAGAAAGCGAGUUAGGAGGUGAGUGAGGAGGAUUGAUAAAGAACCUGAGGAGAGGGAAAAGGUUGGCCACAAAGAGGGAGGGAAUUAAGAGGAGGGUUUUGAAAGAAAGAGGAGCUGAACAAUUUACUAUUGAUAAAGUAAAAUCGUGAAAAUAUUUCUUGAAACAUCAAUUCACAAAUUUAUUGUGGCACACAAUGAAUUUUCUUUUAAAUCCCCUACUACAGCAAAUAAUGAAGAAAAUGCUCCAAAAAGAUUGAGAUUGAUAUAUGCUUAACAUAUAUCUUAAGGCCAAGGUCUAAUUUAGUCGCGGAACAACAAAUAAACACUGUAGAGCGCGCUAAAAAAAGACUUCAAGAUGGGAACAUAGAAUCGAUGAGAAUCUGAACACGGCCUUCCAUUAGAGAUUCUCUCGGUCCUCUUCAAUAAAAUAAGGUGGAGGGAUCGAAUCUUUGGGAAACUUUUAAGGGCUUGGAAGGCAUACUUAACUUGGCCUGGAAAAGGAAGAAUCUGACUUGGGGUCCGGGAAUAGACAGAGUUCCUGAAGAAAUGAGAGGAAUUAACAAUGGAAAAUGCUUUGAGAUAAGCAUACAUCCGCACAAGAAUUUGAGGUCACAAUUGAGCAUUGACAAAAUUAAAAGCAAGAGAUCAUCAGUGAGUUGAGGAAUGUUGGAAAUUAAUAGUCAGUAGUGUUCGAUUUGAUCAUUAUACGUUAGCAGAUUAGUAAUGCAGUAGUGGAGUCAAGUUAGGAGUCUUUUAUUUCCUGUUUUGUAGCCACGUUUAUGUGUGUUUUUCUUAUAUAUCUUUGUAUUUUCUAUUGUAUAGAAAUAAGAGAAGUAAUACAACGUUUGCAUUACUCAA